AUGGUCAGAGUAAAUCCAGAUGAAUGCAUUUUAGCAUUGGACCAAACAAGGAAAAUACCAAUUACAGACCAGGAAGUAAACGAUGCAUUUGGUCUGCCACAAGGAAGCAGGACCAUUCCUCCAGGCCACUCAGAUUUAUCUGUAGUUUGUAUAGAGUUCAGCAGGUUGGCAUCAUCCAUGAGUACCGAAGGCGUACAUAGUUUGAAGGCUGCUGAAUUUAUCUUAUCUAAGGCAGUAGAUGAGAAUUCAAGCAAAGUGGAGUGUGAAUGCUUCAAGAUAGCUUUUGUAAUUUUCUCGUUUGGUCAUGUUCUGAACCCGUGCGCCAAGCACGACUACACUAGUGUUGAUUACUGGGCAGCACUGGUUAUGCCGUCGGAGAUAAAUUACUACGACUGGUGUAGGCUUGUCAAAUACAGUUUGAUGAAAGGGGUUAGGAAAAUGAAGAUUGACAUUCACAAUGGGAACACAACAAUCCACAUUAUUGGUUGUCACCUUCUCCUCCAGGUAUAUUGCACAACAAGAUAA
rnacentral:rRNA from 1 species